CGCCGCGGUAACACCAGCGCCUCGAGUGAUAUCCACGAAUUCUGGGCCUAAAGCCUUCGUAACCGGAUAAGUAAGUCCACUGUGAAAUGUUGGAGCUCAACUCCAUCGCUUGCAGUAGAUACUGCUAAUCUCGGGAACGGGGGAGGGUCGGAGUACGUCCAGGGUAGGGGUAAAAUCUGUUGAGCCUGGACGGACUACCAGUGGCGAAGGCGCCGUCCCAAAACGUGUUCGACGGUGAGGGACGAAAGCUAGGGGAGCGAACGGGAUUAGAUACCCCGGUAGUCCUAGCUGUAAAUUAUGCUGACUGUGGUGUUGCACAUGAGUAAUCAUGUGCAGUGCUGUAGCGUAGCUCUUAAGUCAGCCGCCUGGGGAGUACGAUCGCAAGAUUUAAACUUAAAGGAAUUGGCGGGGGAGCAC
rnacentral:rRNA from 1 species